rnacentral:lncRNA from 1 species
UCACAAAUUAUAGAUAAACUAUGUAAUUAAUUUAGAUUGAUGUGACGAGAAAUCUUGACUUUUUUUUAUUUUAGGUGUAACUAAACAAGACCUCACUCCACUUGGCCAUGGAUGUGGAAGAAGCUUCACUCGCUUUAGCUCACUUUCCUCUCCGCUUUGCAGGUUGCAGGGUAAGGGUAAACACUUUUAUUGUUAGCAGCUGGUCAUCAGAGGAGGGAAAUGCUUCUUAGGCCUUGUUUAGAUACACUCAAAAACCCAAAACUUUACAAGAUUCUUCGUCACAUUGAAUCUUGCGGCACAUGCAUGAAGUAUUAAAUAUAGUUAAAAAGAAUAACUAAUUGCACAGUUUACCUGUAAAUCACGAGACGAAUCUUUUAAGCCUAGUUACUCUAUAAUUAGACAAUGUUUGUCAAAUAAAGACGAAAAUGCUACAGUAUCAAAAUCCAAAAACUUUUUGCAUCUAAACAAGGCCUUACUCCUACUGUCCUACAGUAUUUUUACAACGACCUUGCAUUGCCUGCCUAGCUGCGCUGGCUAUAGCUGCUUGCUUUCCCAAAGGUGUGCUCAUUUUUCGGUGCGCGUGUUGUAGUAGAAUAUUGGGAUAGGAUUCACCCCAUGAUAGAAGAGAAAGGGGCGGCGCUGCUGCUUCGUAUCAUGCCGCUAUCAUUGGAGAGAACGUAUACAUACACUAGCUUGUUGGUUGUUACUGUUACCAAGCAGGGUUUGGUGUAAUUCCUCAUCGAUCUCACAUGCACGUCGGAAAGCGAAUACUGCAUUAAUUACAUAUCUUUCAAUUUGUCCAUAUAUAGCUUGUUUUUUUCUCCAACAUAUUGCAGAGCCGAAUACUAGCUACUACUGGUGUGGUGCCUGUUGUAUGUAUGAUCAGUAUAUGCAUGUGUUAAUCUACUUUGUUUUCCUUUUUUUUCCAACAAAAAAUAAGCAACGAUGAGUAGUGAAAAGGAGAAUAUAUAUAUGCCUGUGAGCCAGUGACAAACGCUGCAGAAAGCGAAGACAUGAACUAGUGGAGGCUCAGCAGGCAAAGGCCAUGUCACUUUGCAGCAAUCAAGCAAGAGAAGGAUGUUCAUAUAUAUGCAUGCUCCCACACAAACACCGAUGCUGCAGCGCGUGUCACCGUGGCGCGCAUGUACGUAUGCAGGGAUAUAUUCUGCUUGUUCAGAGAGCAAGCAUGCAUGCUCUCUGUCUCAUGACACAUGAAAGAAGACCAAUUAAUAAUAGAUCAAUGGACAUCUGAAUUCCGAAAAGCAGCCGUACGUGAGUUUGUAGAAGAGCUGACGAGGCAUUCUGCAGCAUCACUACCAUCAAUUGCUGGACCAAAUAUCACAGCGAGAUGCACUCCACUAUAGAGUCAUAAGUUCUCUCACCGGAACUACAAUUGAGUACGAUUGUUUUUGCCAACGGAGCUGUAGCUUAGUGGUUUUACAGGGCAUUUAGUCAUCUAGUAUCAUCAGGUUAAUUAUGGAGAGAUAGAGAGAAUUUAUCUGAAAACUCAAUGUCACAGUAACCAACAUAAGAGCUUAUGUGACAUUAUUGGUAACAACAUCAUAAAACUCAUCACUAAGCACUGUUUGCUAAACGGCCAUUUAGACCGUUUAAACGCCACGUAAACGCUGCACACAGUGGUACACCAUUUCCGUUUAAUCAUCCGUUUAGCCCGUUUAAUAGACUGCAGGUGACCGACUGUUUAGCGUUUAGAAAAAUCAUUGUCACUAAGACUAACACCGCCCCUUGACUCCUCUCGCCACCGCCAUCAUCAUUUAGGGCCCUUCUCCUUCUUCCUCUUUGAUAAGUCUGUGGAUGGCAAGAAAGAGAAGAUACUCAUAUCACCUUUAUAAUAAAUUUUUAAUUAGUUUUUUUAGGGUUUAGUCCAAAUAAAUUAUCAGUGAAAUCAAAUAUUUUUUUGGUUGGGAUCAUGUUACCGGCGAUAACUUCGAUGAUUGUCAUGAUGAAGCCACCAUUGUAGGCGUUAAUUUCACCACCAUAAAGGUCAAUUUUUUCCAUUAUAUGCCUGAUGUGCUCGUAGGCACUCCCCACGAGGAUACUAACUCUGGGUCAUAAAUCUCAUCGUUAAUGGUUGAGGAGAGAAAACUAAACAUACAAGAGAAAUCAAGGGUGGGAGGUGACGAAUCUCCAACCUAUGUUGUAUCAGAGGAUGCGACAACUGAUAUCUUUUCAUCAUUUCAAAUGCAUUUUAAUUAAAUGAGUUUUGGAACAUUGGUUCUUGCCACGUGUCCAAUGUUUUAAGUUGUUCAUUAGAUUUAAUAUGAGAACUAUAUUUUGGCUUCUAUGUUCGACAAAACUUUGUUCCGCAUCGAGAAAAAGUCACUAGGAAAGAAGUUGAUAGAAGAAUUUAGAUAGAAUAUUAUACCUUUUAUAUUUUUGAUUUUUAUGUGCAACUUAGGGAUAUACUCUUUUAUGUGCAAUUUAGAUAGGUAUGUACUAUGUCGAAUUAAUAUAACCUAUUCCCUUGGCAAAAGAGUAGAUUUUACAUGUGUGAUAUAUAUAGCACGGAAAGGCUACACGUUGUUUCAUUUCAAGAAGAGAUAUGGAUCCUAGGAUUCUACAGCAGCGUCGCCGGCCGGCUCGACCCUCACAACUCACGAGCACCGCACAGACACAUGUGCGGCACCAGUAUGCAUGAGACGGGCGAGGAGUCGUCCCCGUCAUCUGCCGAUCGAUGGCGAAAUGUCUAAUUAAGCUUCGUUAGCGGCGAGCCCUUCCUAGGAAGACUUUGUUUGGUGGCUCGUGCGUGCCUUGUGGCCUUUGUGCCCGUGUGCUCGAUCGCGAAACGCCCCGCGCGGUAGUGCUGCUGGCGCACCUGCGUGUUUGCCCAGUGGCCAGUUUGUGUGUACCAGAAUGAUGGCCGCUUUCGGAAGGGACGACGGCCGGCGUCGGCGAGGAGUCAAGAAACCCAGCUGCUUUUUUUUCGGCAAAAGGACCCCUGCUCGGAAUUGACGGAAUAUAUAUGUGUACUUCCUGUCCGGCCAGGGGAACGUUUCUCUUUCUUUUGCCAGAAUAUAUGCAUUGGUUUCGUGUCGGCAGACAUGCAUGCGCAUACGAUGCGAGAGCAAUAGGAUUCCUUAUUGUCCUCACGACGAGUCACGAGUUCUCACUUGGAGUCAACAAAAUCGUCUCUCUUUUCAUGAGCUGUUUAUAAGCAGUGUAGGUCCAUUUGUUUUUAGACGGAUGAAGUAUAAACUUAUGAUAUACAGUAAUUGCAUCAACUAAGGAUAUGCAUCCAUCAUAUCCAUAUACAACUAUUAAACACUACAAAUAUAUAUCCAGCUAAAGUGGUCUGCAUAAAUAGCGUUCUUUUAUUUAUUAGUUUAAAUAGUUGUGUUUAUUUGUUUGUUUGUUUAAGAUUGUCAUGUCUGCGUUUAAGCAGAGCCACUGGUUGAUUCAUCAUGGCACCAACACACAUUCAUACUAUGCCUUCUCAAAUACAGUAAGUUGUAGAACAUUUGACGCGGAUUCCGGUUACAUAUACCAGUCACUACUGGAAACUACAUUAUCCCUGUGUGCCAAAAAACCAUCAAGGAAAUGGAAAAAACCGUCAAAAUAAUUAAUUCUGUCGGUAGACCGACAGGCAUAUCCCGUCAAGGAUAGAUUGACAGAGAAAUGAUAUUUGCCUGUGAGCCACCCGACAGAAAUAUUUUUCUGACGGUAUUUCCUUGACGGAUGCCUGACAGAACAAAUGUAGCGACCGGAGGUGCGGCACGUUGUCAGCAACCGUCAGGUUAAUUGAUUUCCCUGUAGGCUUACUAUCAGGGAUAUUGUUAAUUUCUUUAUGGGUUUUAGUAUCUUUUCUGUCAGUCGACUCUCAAGGAAAUAAAGAAAAUUCUGUGGGAUGGGAAGUUAUUCCCUAUCGGUUUUCCAUCAAUGAAAUAUUUAGUUUCUAUUAGUUCAACCAAAUUUUCUUGAUGGUUUCCCCUCAAGGAAAUCGCAACUGGAUUUUUCCUAUAUUACAGGAAAAUAUCACAAUUACAUGUUUUGUUCCAAAUACACCAAACAAUAAAUUAUAAGCACAGAACAAUAAUCAUUCAUAUAUAUUAGAAGUUCCAUAAAAGCUUACAAAGUAUUCAACAUGGGCCAACAUAACAAAGGUUCUGCCCUCACAAAUUACACCUCACUAAGUUCUACUACUAGCACCAUAUGCUGCUACUAAUUUAUACAUGUACAGCCAUGUCACCUACCACAACAUCCUAGUUUUAGCCAAGUCCAUCUAACAUUCAGUUACUACUAAGUUACCAUCCACAGCCAUACAUGUUCAGAAGACAAAAGACAGCCACCAACUUAUGUUGUUCAGUGGACAAAAGUCACUUUGACAACCCAUGUGCUAUUUCUCCCAAUAGCAACCUUACCAUAUGUAUCCCAAAUCACAGAAAUCAUCGAUGUUUGAUCCAGCAUUGCUGGCCCCAUUGUUGUCGUCGAUGUCCUCUUCAUCCCUGUCCUCUUCAUCCCCUUCGUCCUCCUCAUACAUCUCUUCAUUCAUGUCCUCAUCCUUGUCCUCUCCUUCCAUGUAGCUACCAUCCAUGUCCUCUUCGUCCUCUCCAUCCAUGUCCUCACCAUCCAAGUCCAACAAAGAGAAAUAGGGCACUAUGCAUAAAAAUAGGGCACUAUGCAUAAGUAUGAAAUCUAUGGCCGACCAUACAUGAUCCGAUGAGUAUGAAAUAUAUACUAUAGUUCAAGCAUAGAAUAAUUAGUCCACCAUAAAAAUUCACCACAAUUGGACAACAGAAGGUGCAGCUAUGAAUUAUUCCAAUUAAUUACAGAUAAAAUAUAUUUUUUCUAACUAAUUUAAAGCUAUAGAAAAAAUUUGUACUAAAGUAUACCUUCCCUCCUCU